rnacentral:sRNA from 1 species
GUGUGAAAUGCAAGGGGAGGGUGAGAAGCCUCGGGUUCGAGCCGAGCAGCUUUUAGCUGCGAGACAACAUCGGAGCGAAGUGACGAUGGCCCAAAGGGCAAGCGCGUAGCGCGCGUAAUCCCUCCCUCACCGCCA